CAACCAACAAUGGAUUUGAUUGCUUAUCAAGAACUAAAAAAAUUAAAGCACAUCCAGCAUGUUACAUUUUAUCUGAUAGUUACAGUGUACAGAUCAAUGCAAGCAAACUUAACAUCCUCAAACAUUUCAAACCUAAGGUCAGAUCACACGAACUUUGAAACCAUUAAUAAUCCCAAUAAUCUAACAUUCAUGACCAAGAGCAGCAAGAUUAGACAAAGCCGCAAAGGUCCUUGGGAACUGCAAGAUCAGUCUCCAUAGAUGAUAGUACCAGACUGCAAAAAAAAAAAGCAAAACAAGCAGAAUUUGAAACUUACAAAACCAAGCAGAAGCAAAGACAGUAUGGAUAGUAAAGAGAAUAUAUGCAUCAAUCUAUUUCAAAAUGCAAUUUUGUUCUCUAAGAUUGGAAAAGCCGAGUAUAUUGGCUAAAUGAUCACUAGAAAUUGAACUAGGCUCAUGAGAAACCAUUAUGUAGGUUAGAAGAAGACACAACAAAUUUGAAUGUACGUGCAGCUAACAAAUAUACAGGCCUAACUUUAAACUCCCGGAUAAAGUACACACCUUGAGCAUACGAGGCAAAAUAGACAACAAACACCAUAAUGCCACAUAAAAACAAGUAUAACUAUAAAUUUCUCAAAUAAUAAUUACCCUGUUGAACCUGGCACGAUACAUGUAUACCCUCAGCCGAUACAAAGUGAAUCUACAAAGGAACAGAGGAACUUAAUCUAUAAGAUAACCAAUCAACCACUCAACAAAAGACAAUGUACAAAAAGCAAAAAAAAUUGGUUCAGUAUACAGUAGUUAAAACAACCCUGGGAACAAUUUGGAAUUGAACUCGGCACCAAGAAUGCCACUGUCACGAUAGUUCAUCAGAAUAAGGAUCGAUCCCCUCACCACUUGCACGUUACUUUCCAGAUUCGUCCACAUUUCAUAUCUUGGUGAAAAGUGAAAACACUCUCGUGCGAAAUGCCUCAACAUCAUUGGAGCUAGUGACAACUUAUGUUUAAGUCCAUUACAUACAUUAUACCAGUGUAGUUAUCUCAGCUAAGACCAGGCCUAUCAUUGUUCGAGAAGAACUGCAAACACAAGUAAAAAGAACUUUCUUGAAAGAAUUUUCUUGCUAAGGGGAGACACAAGGAUAACAACAAUCAGUACGUAAAUUUUGAAGAGUACCUGACUGAAGUGGGAGGUGCAACAGUCCUUAGAUUCAAAGUUUGCAAACAAUUGCAAACCAAGUACAAUCAGCACAAUCACCGAAUAAUCGUGAUCAAUCUACAACAUGAAAGUAGAGGCAGGAAAAAGGCAUUAAAGAACGGCAACAUCAGAAAGAUAAGAGAAAUAGACGAAAAAGUAAUGGAGUAAAUAGUGGUGAUCUUUGGACACAACUGCUGGAUAGAAGUGCAAGUCUGAAUUAUUACUACAAUGAUUCCUUAUCUAAUAGGCUCUAUCUGGUCCCUGUGACCCUUAUUGUCUAGAAGUAGCGAAAGAUGUUUGGUUAGAAAAAUGGACAGCAGCAUAUGCAUCUGCUAGGGGAUGAGUUACGUGAAUGGCCAGACAACCCCAUGUGAUUUCUUGAUUUGAAAAAGAUAAUAUAGACGAUCUUUCAAACACCCAAUCUUCAUCUACGUAUAUAGACAUACUUCAUGAUCAGUAACUCAUCUCCUCUCAUUCCUCAAACAUCAAAGCUUUCCUUUCAAGUCUUUUUAUUGUUGAUCCACUUGGGAAUAUAAAAUCCAUGGGUUUCAAGCUGCCUGCUAUAGUUAGCCCCAAGAAAAGUCUCACCCGAUCUUCGUCUAACGCAAACAAGACAGCUUCAAAGAUCUUAGAUAUCCCGAAAGGCUAUUUUGCAGUCUAUGUUGGAAAAAGCCAGAAGAAGCGAUUCGUGAUCCCAAUAUCAUACUUGAACCAACCUUCAUUCAUGGAUUUGCUGAGUCAAGCUGAAGAUGAAUUUGGAUACGAUCAUUUCAUGGGUGGUAUCACAAUCCCAUGCAGUGAAAACACCUUCCUAGAUCUCACUUCAAGCUUAAGUGCGUGACUGAGCAAUGAGAUGAAAAUAUGAUCCAACUUCAUAUAUUAAAUGCAUCCGAGUUUCAGACAUGCUGCUGAGUCAAGAUGAAGAAGAGGAAAGUCUCACGAUUAUUCAUCAACUGAAUCCAUUCAUUGCUUUUCCUGAGGGGAAGCUUCGGUGACAAUGAAGCUGCAAUGGAGCUGUACUGAAAGAUACGCAAGUUAUGAAGCAGACAAAUGACAAUAUUGUGUGCAGCAAUCUUUUUAACAACCACAGUUCCGGUUUUGAACUGAAACAAACUGAAAUUAUGUAUUCAAAAACCCAUGUAAACUUGGUUCUCCCAGGAUCAAAAUUCUUGAAUCAAAGAACAUACGAUAAUUCUCAUCCACUUGCAGCAUAUUCACACACACAAAGAGAAAACAAUGUCUGAAAGCUUACAGAAUAAUUCGGCAUCAUAUUAGAUGAAAAACGGCGAAUACUACCCCAGUAAAGGAUUAAUGACUUCAGCAUGAUUGCUUCUGCAGCAUGCAUACAAGUUUUAUUGGACAGUAACAGGAUUGGCAAUACGAAUAGGAGUAUUAGAAAUGCAACAAACUGGGAGGACAGGGUCAUACGCAUCAAUACAUUCCACAAACUUAGAAAUUUAUCAAAUUUUUACAUUCCACAAACCCAAGAAUACACAAAGUUUAAAUAUAUAUCCAGUUCAAGCAUUAAAAAGAGAAUAGGUCUUCAGACGCAUUUCAUCGAACAGUUGGAGGACAACAUUUCAGUUGUUUUAUAGGAGCUGGUAGACUGAGUGUCAGUGAUUUUUGUUUCACAUAUAGCACCAAAAACGAAAGACCCAGAACUCAAACACUACCAGAAUGGAACAGAAAACGAGAAACCCAGAACUCAAACACUACCUGGAAAAAAAGCCAAGAAAAUUUGGACCAUUUCUCGAUUUAUGCGUGUCAAACUUGCGCAGGAGCUAUGUUAAUCUUUUUUCUAUCGUUCCAAUUUUAUCGGAUGUCCCCGAAGGGACACACCCUACUACCUUGUCUUCGUAUAUCAACAGUCUCAUAUUUCGCUUUUCUUCGGUGUGGGAGUCUUGGAACCAAUAUUACAAAAGUACGUGCGCCUCACGUGUCCUCCCUUGAGUGUAAUUCUAUGAGAGUAGGCUGCUAUAUAGGUUCAAUAAUCUUCAAGAUCUUGAUACAAUAAGUUCUUAUUUACUGAUAUAUGAUGUAUUGAAAGUAUAUUAUUAAUUCCUGAUAUAGUGAGGAAGUUAAAGAGGACGCCCGUAAAUGAAAAUGCAGCUGUCCAUCAUGUCUUGCAAUCUUUAAUUUGCAGACACCGGCAAACAUGAAAAGGAGCCUAUAGCACCUCCGCUUCCUCCUCUUCCUACCACUCAUCAAUGCAUACGCCAGCACCCCGAUAUUGGGUUAACCUCACUGCACACAACCUCUCCUACACUCAUCUCCCCGAUAUCAGGUUCCCCCAACUACUGUAAAAGCCUAAGACUAAUGCAUAUAUGCCGUAAUCAAGUCGGUCACUUUAGCUGCAAACAUUUUGUUAAAGAUUUGCCAUUGUCGGCCUGAUCGAGUGGCAAUGGGAGAUCUACCCUCUGCAAAUAGUGAUGUCGGGUGAGAGAUGAAGACUUCAAUCUCAAAACACAAAUAACUCGUCCUGCUCAUCAGAAUAUGCGGAUGCACAAGAAGAUAAUCUGCCUCCCCUACUGACUGGAAGAGACUUUGAUAUUCACUGCCAUGUUUCGUUGCACAGACUAUCACCGAUGCAUUGUAACGCAAAUUGUCAAACACCAAGUGAAUUGUGAUAGCCAUGGCAUCAGAGAUGAGCUUGAUAACAAAAUUGAAAGCAGAAAAUUGAGAGAGAAAGAAACUGAGAGCAAAUCAAACCCUUUUGCUUAUAAUAGCAUAGAAUUCAUUACAAAAGAGAAUAAAGUCAGAUAGUUAUUUAUACAAGAGAAAAUGAAAUCAUAAGCUUUCUAACAGAAUUGACAGCUGGAAUAUAGCUGUCAAAAUACAAGUGACAUAAAGAUUCUAGAAUCUGUUAGAAGAAUAACAGACUAGCUAGUCCACUCUUCCAUUCUUCUUCUACUACAGUCAACAACCUCCCUCAAGCUCAGCUAGGGUUACUAGCCUGAGAUUGACACAGUGAGUUCGAAAAAGAGGAGAAGGCAAGCCCUUUGUCAAUAUGUCUACUGUUUGUUCAGUAGUAGAAACAUACUGAAGAUGGAGAUCAUUGCGUUGAGCACGUUCACGAACAAAAUGGAAAUCAUUAUCCAAAUGCUUGAUCUUUGAAUGAAAAACUGGAUUAGAAGCUAAGGCAAGAGCUAAAAGAUUAUCACACUUAAGAAUAGGAGGACUAGGAACCCGAAUCUUCAAAUCACACAGCAAAUGCCUUAUCUAGCUAACUUCAACAGCAGUGUUUGCAAGACUGCGAUAUUCAGACUUUGUAGAACUUCGAGACACAGUUCCCUGCUUCUUUGAUUGCCAUGAAACAGGACACAUACCAAGAUACACAACAAAACCAGUAGUGGAUCGUUUCUGUAUUACCUCUCCAGCCCAGUCAGCAUCACAGAAGGCUUUAAUAUGCACUGCAUUUGUCAAGGCACCAGAAGAGCUAUAAAAAAGACCUUUAGCUACAAUGAUGUAGAACGAGAAUGGGCCAAAUUUAGACAGAAAAAAAUAAAAGUAUGGAAACGGCGAAUAAUCAGAAAGAAUGAUUUAAAGAUCGGUAACUCUCGUAUCAUGAGGUCGCUAGCCGCUGGAAUAUUCAAGAAUAUGUUGUUUUGGACUUUUCGGGUUUGCCGCGCAAAAUCUGUUAAAUCUGAUUUGGAGUAUCUUUUGGCCAGAAUGUCAGUUUGGGAUGCAUGAUACCUUUCCGGAAUGGGAACGAUGAGAUCUACAAGACUCACUUAUGUGAGCCCUGUCAGAUAUAGGCCAAAAGAUAUCAUUUUGUUAAUCCGAUUCGGCAUUCAAUAUUAUUUUAGGUUUUCUAGUUUAUUUUGGAUUUGGUUUUCUUUUAAUCUUUGGGCUUUUAGGCUUUGUUGUUCGUUGCCCUAUGGUUUAUCUGCUCCUAUAUAAGGAGCCUUUAUCAGUUGUAGUCGUCAAGCUUUUGAUAUUAAUAAAAAAACCUUUGAGUUUAUCUCAAUUCUCUAGUGGAUUCCAGAUUAUCUCUCGUGGAUUCGAGAAAACCAGACUUGUGGAUUCAAGUCGCCGUUGGUGGAUUCCAACGUUAUCUAUUUCCGCUGCAUCAAUUGGUAAUCAGAGCUGGAUUUUUUCCUGGUGGUUAUGAUCUCGUAGUCAUGGGUGAUCAAGUUCUUGUUACCUGCCAACCUCAACAACGCUGGUCGUAGAGAUCUGUCCAAAAUUGAAGAGGAAAAUACCAAGGGAUUUGCCCUAGGUUAGCCUCAUCAAUU
rnacentral:lncRNA from 1 species